UACAGAGGGGGCAAGCGUUGUUCGGAAUUACUGGGCGUAAAGGGCGCGCAGGCGGCGGUGCUGGCCCGGCGUGAAAGCCCCCGGCUCAACCGGGGAGGGUCGUCGGGGACCGCACCGCUUGAGGGCGGUAGGGGCUGGUGGAAUGCCUGGUGUAGUGGUGAAAUGCGUAGAGAUCAGGCAGAACACCCGUGGCGAAGGCGGCCAGCUGGGCCGGUCC
rnacentral:rRNA from 1 species